rnacentral:rRNA from 1 species
ACAUGGAUAACUGUGGUAAUUCUAGAGCUAAUACAUGCUAAAAAUCCCGACUUCGGAAGGGAUGUAUUUAUUAGAUUAAAAACCAAUGCCCUUCGGGGCUCUCUGGUGAUUCAUAAUAACUGCUCGAAUCGCAUGGCCUUGCGCCGGCGAUGGCUCAUUCAAAUUUCUGCCCUAUCAACUUUCGACGGCUGGGUCUUGGCCAGCCAUGGUGACAACGGGUAACGGAGGGUUAGGGCUCGACCCCGGAGAAGGAGCCUGAGAGACGGCUACUACAUCCAAGGAAGGCAGCAGGCGCGCAAAUUACCCAAUCCCAAUUCGGGGAGGUAGUGACAAUAAAUACUGAUACAGGGCUCUUUUGGGUCUUGUAAUCGGAAUGAGAACAAUUUAAAUCCCUUAACGAGGAACAAUUGGAGGGCAAGUCUGGUGCCAGCAGCCGCGGUAAUUCCAGCUCCAAUAGCGUAUAUUAAAGUUGUUGCAGUUAAAAAGCUCGUAGUUGAACCUUGGGCCUGGCUGGCCGGUCCGCCUCACCGCGUGCACUGGUCCGGCCGGGCCUUUCCCUCUGGGGAGCCGCAUGCCCUUCACUGGGCGUGUCGGGGAACCAGGACUUUUACUGUGAAAAAAUUAGAGUGUUCAAAGCAGGCCUAUGCUCGAAUACAUUAGCAUGGAAUAAUAGAAUAGGACGUGUGGUUCUAUUUUGUUGGUUUCUAGGACCGCCGUAAUGAUUAAUAGGGACAGUCGGGGGCGUCAGUAUUCAAUUGUCAGAGGUGAAAUUCUUGGAUUUAUUGAAGACUAACUGCUGCGAAAGCGUUCGCCAAGGAUGUUUUCAUUAAUCAGGAACGAAAGUUAGGGGAUCGAAGACGAUCAGAUACCGUCGUAGUCUUAACCAUAAACUAUGCCG